UACGGGGGGGGUAAGCGUUGUUCGGAAUUACUGGGCGUAAAGGGCUCGUAGGCGGCCAACUAAGUCAGACGUGAAAUCCCUCAGCUUAACUGGGGAACUGCGUCUGAUACUGGAUGGCUUGGAUUCGGGAGAGGAAUGCGGAAUUCCAGGUGUAGCGGUGAAAUGCGUAGAUAUCAGGAGGAACACCGGUGGCGAAGGCGGGUCUCUGGGCCGAUACUGACGCUGAGGAGCGAAAGCGUGGGGAGCAAACAGG
rnacentral:rRNA from 1 species